CCAACGUGCAUACCACAUUUGCCCACAAAAUGAUUAAAAAUUACCCAAGAACCCAGAGCUGGGGGCAGACUUGGGACUCAGGCCUGUAUAUUCUCUCUUAGCCUAGGUUGCAGGUCUUCUUGGUUUUUACCUGAAAACAACUGCAACAAUUGCUGCUUCUCCUUCCAGGUUUCCCAUAAUUUGAGUGUGCUCAUUCUCACUGCCACCGUCCCUACCUGGGCUGUCAUCAUCACACACCCGAAUUAUUGCCGCAGCAUCACUCUAGGUUAUUAAGACUAGAACAGACACCGCUGGAGCCCUACUAUGUGCCAGGCCUGAAGUGAAAGAACGUUACUUGUAUAAGAAUAAUUUUUAAAAGCUACCAGAAACUCAGACCUCGAAAAGCUCAAAGUCCAGUAGCAGAUCAGCACAGGGAAGGAUUGCAACAAUUUCCGAAGGGAAAAAGAAGUCCUCGUGUUGUAGCAGGUUGGAAACCACUGAGCUGGGCUGUCCAGGCAGCGUGUCAUUUCCCGUUUAGCCAAGUGGGAGUCAUGAGACCUGAGGUCAGGUUCCAGCCCUCCCCUGCCUGCUUGGGUGAUCUUGGGGGCAGCCCCGUGUGACUUGGAGAGCUUUGGUUUCCUCAUCCUGGAGCAGAGAUCAUGGAAAUUAUUUGGCAGGAUUGUCAUGAAGAUUAAAUUAGAUAAUGAAAGGGCUUUGAAAGCUGACGUGUUGCACAAAUGUAAGGAUCAUUGUUGUCAUCAUCUCACACACAUUGUCAGCUUCUUAAGGCAGGGACAGCGUCUUCUGUUUUUGUCUUCAGUUCCCGCAGUGCCGCCCACCACCCCGUCAACUGCACUCAACACAGGGCUGUGGAGAUGACCUCGUGGAAGCGCUACAAAGUGACUAGCACGACGGCUCAGCACCUAGAUGUUGCUUCAUACACUGUAGCCAUUUCCUGUGCGUGUGCUGCUGUACAGACAGGCGGCACCGUGCAGAGGUUCAGAGCAUGGGCUGGUUCGAAUCCUCUCUCUGCCGUGAGCUAGGUGCGGGCACGUUAGCACUAACCUGCCCUAGUGCCCUCGUCUGUCACACGGCUGAUGAGAAUAGUAGCUAGUUAAUGAGGCGGCUGUGAGAGAGCUGAAGGAGUUUAGUCUGUGCCACAGAGCCAGGCACAAAUCAAGCCCUCUGUAGGCAUCAGUUGUUGUGACUAUUUUACCGUUAUGUCCUCAGCGAUGCCUCUAGGGGUAGUCUGAGAAGAUCAUGAGACUGAAAAGUAAGAAAUCUAGCUCCUGGAUUUUGUUCAGAGUCAGAAAGGCCUUCAAAGACAGUCAGGCCAGGCUCUUGGGGUCAGCACAGAUGACGUCACCAUGAACCCACUGAGCAUCGUUCCCCCAGGUGUGGGCUGGAUCCCUAGACCAGACAUCAUUGGGUAAAAAAAAAAGUGUGUGAAUUUAACGUUUGGAUAAAUAUCACAACUGCCCAACAUGCA